UCUGCUUUUCAAUCCUAACCAAUGCCCGUUGUUUAGAUGAGUGGUUCUAAAAGUGCAGUCUCCACCCUAGCAGCAGCAACAGCCCCACCUGAGAACUUGUUAGAAAUGCAAAUUCUCGAAUCCCACAAAGAACUAGUCAGAAACUCUAGGGGCGGGGCCCAGCAGUCGGUAGCCUAACAGGCCCUCCCAGGUGAUUCUGUUAUAUGCUGAAGGAUGAGAAUUACUGGUUUAAAUAUUCUUAACUCCAGUCUAAGUUAUUAAAACAGUCUCUUAGGGUGUCCCUUCUAACAACAUUUUCCUGUUGAAUUUAUCUUCCAGAUCUGUCACUGACUUCCCAAAACAACAUGCCAAUGCCACUCCCAGACAGACCAGUAUAUAAAUACCACCUCUCAGUUUUAUGAAAUGUCGGGCAAGUCUCUUUAUUUGGGUUAAUUGGGUCUCUGUUGUCUCAGUUAAUUGGGUCUCAGGUUAUUUGGG
rnacentral:lncRNA from 10 species